UGGUACCUUAUGCUUAGGCCUCAAAUCUUUUUUAAUCAACACGUGUAUUUCUUUUAUCAAACCACGCGUAAAACUGAUUUUGUUCGUUUCUAUUUGCUUUUGCCCUUCUGUUUUCGUUUCCUCUUUCAACUUGUAGAACAACAUCAUGUUGCUCUGCUGUCCACUUAAAUUGGGGCUGUAUCUGUAAUGACAUCGGCAUCACAGAUUCUCGACGGAGAAAAUAUGGGUGCAUUGCCAUUAUCGAUAAGCGAUCUUCAGUCAUGCCACUCACUAACUAUUCUAGAAGUGGAAGUUCUUAAAGAAAUAGUUGUUCAAUUGGGGCAAAAGAUUGGGAUUUUUAGCAAAAUUGUGAUGGGAACUCAAAUUGGAACACACCCAAACAAAACCUUGAAUGCAAUUGGACUUUCCCGAUAAUCUUUGUCAUGUGGAGAACAUGUAAGUAUCCAUUACAAAUGAAUGUCUUUUGUUAAGUAGUUGAUGAAAAUUGUUGUGUUCUGUCUGGUUUAAAGUUGUUUCAGUUUAAACCCUUAAUUGAAUUUCUGUUUGGAAGCAAAUUUCUUCACACAUUUUUGGCUUUUAAGGGUCGUUGGGUACGUAUGAUAAGGAUAAUAAUCGCAAGAUAGAAUUUGAGAUUAACUUUAUGUCAUAUUUGGUUUGAGAUACUGGGUAAUUUCGGCACUGUUUAUCUCACCAUUUGUAUUAAGGUGCGAUUACUAUCCCAUAUAGCGGGUAAGAUAAAAUAAUCCCAUGAGAUAUCCCAACAUCGAUGUACAAAUGAUCCCUAAAUGUCCAGAUUAAACUGCUAAGACCAAAAUUUAGGUAUAUCGAGAUUUGAGAAGAACACUUUCUCUUGGGAAACAAGUUCCUUAAAAAUAAGGAUCAUGUCUUGAAUAAUGGAAGUAGGGAACAAGUUCCAUAAUUUGUUGACCACAAAUAUAUUCAUCCAACUACUGACAAUUCUUGCUCUUUCUCUGCGAUUAAGAUUAAGACGAUAAAUUCUCUUGAGUCUUGGAAUGGUGGUGUUCUUGUUGUGGUCUCUGGUUCUGUCAAACUGAAGGAUUUCAAUGGGUGGAUGAACUUUGUGCAAACAUUUUUACUUUCACCUCAGGAGAAGGGUUACUUUGUUCUGAAUGAUGUCUUUCAUUUUGUUAAUGAGGAGGGGAGUGAACUAGCUCAAGCACCAGUAGUUUCACAGAACAAUCUUGAUGCUCAACCGAUUUCCUCUAAUCCUCUUGCAGAGCCACCAGGUCAUUUUGGAUACAUUGAGUUACUCAUUCCUGUUUAUCAUGCUGAUCAUGUCAGUGAGUUUAUAUAGAUGCAAAGCCAGCUUUGCUUGAAGCGUUUAACAAUGAAUACACAGAAAGGAGACAGAAAGUUGCGCCUGCUUUGCUUAAUGCAUGUGAUGUUCUUGCAAAUUUUCACUUCAUGAGGCGGUGGGCGUAAGGAAUUUUGAGGAUUCGGAGGCCUAAGUGAAUUAGGUGACCGAAGUAGAGGGGAGUUUUAGUUCAAUGUCGGGAGCUUCAAGGGCAAGGUCAAUGAAUGUAGCUGAUUCGGAAGCAAGGCCAGUUCUUGGUCCCACUGGGAAUAAGGCACAGAGAUCACCUGGUUCAAGAAAAUCUGUUACGAGACCUACGAGAAAGACUGUGAAGUCAAAAGAGGAGGUCGUGAUGGAAGAUAAAAAUGGUCACCAACCAUCCCCUUCGUUGCUUACUUUUGAUGUUCCUUCAAUAUUUAGGCGACAGGAGUCAUUGUAUUCCAACCUUUCACUUAGUGCUUCAUGUUCUUCUGAUUCCUCAACAGAUUCAUUUCACAGUAGUGCUUCAACUGGUAGGAUAUAUAGAAUGAAUAAUACCUCAAGUAGAAGGAAGUAAUUGGCAUCGAAGUCCAAAAGGAUGGUUCCAGCUGAUAUAUCACUCUUCAAUCGACGGUUUGCAAUCAAAGAAAAGAUGUGGCUAGGUGACACCUAAUACAGGUGUGUUCUUGGUGAUUCUUUUUAUAAAUUUACCACAUCUGGAUUUUUUAUUCUUUUCUUCUUCUAAUACUACACUGCCAAACUGUAAGCAAAUACCGUUGGAAGUUUAAUCAAGAAAUGUUUUAAAUUA